rnacentral:lncRNA from 1 species
UUGAUUGGAAUUCUCUCCGCGUUUCCGAAUUUGACAUCAAACAUGAACUUAACCCAUAAACCCAACUCCUUACAUUGACGUUUAAAUCUUUCGUUUUCGGAAACUUCGUUGUUUCUAAAAUCAUAAACGUGCUAUAAAACCGAGACCCUCAUAACCACUUUUGAGACCACCCUCACAACACCUUUCGGCACUCUUGUCGGAACGACCAUUAACAAGUCGCCGGAAGAUCGAGAAACUCAUCGGAGUAAACUGCAGUCCCGGAAUUCGAAGUCGACCGGAAGUUGCUUGGAUUUGAGUCGAAGUUCGCAACACGUGUUGGUCGUCUCGUUCGGAUAAUCGUUCUAGUUCUCUUGGAUUUCUCCAAUCCUUACUCGUGCCUUAUUUCAAGAAAUACGCAACGCAAUCUAAGGUGAGUAUACAUGACCCAUUUUCUAUUUUCCACUUUUGGGUUGAUUGAACAGGAAUCAAGAAACAAGCUAGGAUGGCUUUAGAAACCCAUUUUAGCAUUUUAGUUAAUUAUUGAAUUUAUGUUUGUUUAUUUGAGACAAUGUACCUUACUUUAGAAUUUAAUAAAAUGAUUUAAUUUAUAUUGUC